rnacentral:rRNA from 1 species
GACGUAGGGCGCGAGCGUUGUCCGGAUUUAUUGGGCGUAAAGAGCUCGUAGGCGGCUUGUCGCGUCGUCCGUGAAAACCUGCGGCUCAACUGCAGGCUGGCGGUCGAUACGGGCAGGCUGGAGUUCGGUAGGGGAGACUGGAAUUCCUGAUGUAGCGGUGAAAUGCGCAGAUAUCAGGAGGAACACCGGUGGCGAAGGCGGGUCUCUGGGCCGAUACUGACGCUGAGGAGCGAAAGCGUGGGGAGCGAACAGG